ensembl:snRNA U2 U2 spliceosomal RNA
AUGGUUUUGUAAUGAAAGGCAUUGAACGUAAUAAAUAUAUUUUGUAUCUGUUCUUAUCAGUUUAAUAUCUGAUAUGUCCCCCAUCGGGGGACUACAUAUUAAAUGGAUUUUUCGAACAGGGAGUCGGAAAUGGGGCUUGCUCCAUCCGCUCCACGCAUCGACCCGGUAUUGCAGUACCUCCGGGAACGGUGCAACACUU